rnacentral:rRNA from 1 species
CUACGGGAGGCAGCAGUGGGGAAUAUUGCACAAUGGAGGAAACUCUGAUGCAGCAACGCCGCGUGGAGGAUGACACUUUUCGGAGCGUAAACUCCUUUUAUAUAGGAAGAAGAUGACGGUACUAUAUGAAUAAGCGCCGGCUAACUCCGUGCCAGCAGCCGCGGUAUACGGAGGGCGCAAGCGUUACUCGGAAUCACUGGGCGUAAAGAGCGUGUAGGCGGAUUAAAAAGUCAGAAGUGAAAUCCUAUAGCUUAACUAUAGAACUGCUUCUGAAACUCUUAAUCUAGAAUAUGGGAGAGGUAGAUGGAAUUUCUGGUGUAGGGGUAAAAUCCGUAGAGAUCAGAAGGAAUACCGAUUGCGAAGGCGAUCUACUAGAACAUUAUUGACGCUGAGACGCGAAAGCGUGGGGAGCAAACGGGAUUAGAUACCCUCGUAGUC